rnacentral:rRNA from 1 species
GGAAAAUGUUCAAACACCUGAUUUGGUAGUGUAGGUAACGUUCAAACACCUAGACAUCACGAGAACGGAGAAAUAUAUAUUGGAGACGGUGACAGAUGACCACAGUCAUCAGGUGGGUAGUGCAGACUGGCUAGCUAGCUGGCGGCUGACGGGCUGAGGAUGGCAGGUCGUCGGCGGCCGGCCCGAGGCGAAGAUGCUAGUGGCUCGUCCCUUGCCGCCUCCUUCGUUGGGGCGGGGCCCGAGCGGUACCCCGAGGUGGUCGCCCUGCUGCGGCCCCCUUCGUCGCUGUUCCCCUUCCGGCGCGAGACGCUACUGCCGCGCCUCGGCCCCCGCGGGCGCGUGCGCUGGCCGGCGCACGGCGGCACCUGCCUCGUCGACUGCGACGCGCCGGACCACCACUCGCACCGGCAGCCGUGGUACAUGUCGCAGUAGCACUACUUCGAGUUGGAGUGGUGCCCGGAGUUGGGGUGGGAGUUGCAGAGGCGGCGCGAGUAGAGGAAGCAGUACGAGGCCCCGACCUGCGUCCGCGACCGGGCGGACCCGGCGCAGCAGGCGGGCGAGUGGGCGGUCCUCUUGUGGCAGCACGUCUGGACGCGGCAGCGGACGAUGUCGUAGCCGCGGCGGCCACCCAAGCCCAGGAUGGACGAGCCCGAGUUGUUCUUCUGGAUGCUCUACCGGCCCCACCUGUACCUUCCGUUGCACCCGUGGUUCCUCGGGCCGCAACCCACCUACUACCCGAAGGAGAAGCGGCAGCGGAAGCAGCCCUAAGAGCGCGAACAGGGAGAGUCCUUCUAAAACCACUAGCUGAUGUUUAAUUGAAUGGGUUCGCCUUGACGUUGACGGCACGAAUAUUUACCUAAAGUACGCAGGUUCCCUCUACUACACCGUUUCUACGUUCACUUACCUAAGUGUUUUAUGAAACGUUAAUCGAAGAAGACCUCGAAGAAGGUCACCAAAAUAAGACCACCUCUAGUAACACCGAAAAGCGUUAAGGGGUGAGAACCUGAUGCUCGAACCUUUGUAAGCAAGAAGAAACUAAAGUUAGAGUGUAUACAACCCCGUCCCUACUAAACGGGGGUGGAACACUUAUAUAGAGAGGAAGAACCGAGAUAAGAGAGGACCCCGCAUUACACCGGUGACUAACGACUAAACUUUCCCUUGACCAUAGGCCGUCUUAAUGGUCUUUCGUCGUACUCUUCAGACGUUCCAAUGUUCCGGAAGUAAACGUAUCGAGAGUAGGAUCCUCUGCCGUAUAUGUUAAAAUGUUUCUAAUAAGAAUUCUGGCAGUACUCAUACGAACUGUUUAGUUUUGUCUUUUUGCGUUUCUUACCCCUUCUAUGAGACAGUGAGCAACUUGUUGUAGCGUUACUUCACAAAUAUUCUCUGUCAGAGGGAUUGACCGAUCGGAAAAACCCAAUGAAACGUAAUAGCCAGCAACGACAUUAGUGAUAAGGGUCCUACAAGGGACUCAACUUCACCAUGAUACGACAACAUCGUAUGGAUAACCGAGGACGAGACCCAAAGAGGUUACGGAUACCUAGGCCAGAAUGGCUGUAGUUGUACCGGAAGUUGAUACCUUUUCAACGGGAGGAGUAAGAACGCCGGCGUCGACCCUUUCUUGUACCGCACCAACGACCCUACCAUCCGACACCGUACCACUUCACAUACUGCAGCUAUAGACGACUAGACUACGUCCUGAAGUUUUGACCCGUAGAAUGUAAUUGUAGUGGAUCUAGUUACGAAUAGCGGGUCUAGUAGCCGUGGCGGUAACCAACACAGUAGAGUGGCGACUGUAAGAUACACAAGAUGUUACGGAAACUGUAUCCGUUGGUCCUGUCGGGGACCUUCCGCGGCAUACGAGACUAUAUGGCUUUGUAGCGCUAAGAACCACACCUCCCGAAGAGACGAGACGGGUACGUAACGAACGUCGAGACGACACCUAAGAAACGGAAACGUGACCACCGGUUGGACUACUCCCUAAAGGAAGGUGUCUUCAUACCGUUUACCCAGGGGAACGGGUACCGUUACCCCAAGGGGAAGGAACAGCCGCGCUCGAAGCGGUAGCUGUACACACGGCCCUCGAACUAUCAGAUGUAGACCGUGUUCUAACUGUCCUCGUUUCGUCGUGUAUACCACGGUCGUCAACGGAGGCCAAAAUAUACACCCCUACCUGAAACCUAGAAGGGUCGAAGGAACGAACGCAACCGGUUCUAGUGGGGUGGUUACACGUACCGUAAACGAAGAUGUGUGAUCUACCCAUAGUACGGGCUAUCACCAGCGACCGAGCGUCGAGAUACCACUUAUUCAACUUACUAUAUAUUUAGGUCUUCCACAUUUUAACAUUCUCCAUAUAGUAGAAAGUUCUCGUCGUCUAGGUUAACGGUUUACACCCGAAGGUAGACAAUAGAUGUUUACAAUAGUAGCCUAUAUUUGGUAGUUUACUUCCCAACAGUCUACUGCACACCGUGGCUUUCGCAACAGUUCAUUACACAUAUUUGACUACUCCUAUUCUGACCCCAUACUUCUAUCUACUCGGGUGAGCUGUCCUAAUGGCGUCGCUACUUAAUGACAUACGACGUCGUCCCUUUGUAGUACUCAAAGACUUUUGGUAGGUUGUUUAAGUCACGACGAAUCACGAAUGGUGACUUGUGACUUCUGUUUUAAUCCGGAUAUGUAAUGACACAUUAAUAGAAGGACACCACUAAUAAAAGAAAUCACUCUUCAGGGAUAGAUAGUCAAAUACAUACACAUCCUCUAUACUAAGAGUCUUAUUUUACGCUUCCAGAAAAAUUUAACGAAAAUUCCAUUUCUUUAUAAGUCAUCUAUUAAUCCAGGACAUCGAGUCAACCAAUCUCACAACCAGACUAUACGGUUUUCAGUGCCCAAGUUAGGGGCAGCCCUGGUCAAGAAAAAAAUUUAACACUAAUGGGAGAUAAAAGAAAAGAAAAAAACGCCCUUCUAAUGGGAGAAAAAAGUUACAUAAAAGAUUGACGAGUAGCAAAAAGGAUCAUUAAACUCUUUUGUUUUUACUGAGUAAUUCAGAACAUAUAGUCCCC